rnacentral:snoRNA from 1 species
CCUGCCCCUAGAGGCAUGGUAAGUAUGAUUGCUGUGUCACAUGUGUGUCANUAGGUGGCAGAGAGGAGAUAGGUUGUGCUUUGCCCAGCGUUCUGAUCUGUGGACAUCUCAAUGAUUAGAAGCCUAACAGU